UACGGAGGGGGCUAGCGUUGUUCGGAAUUACUGGGCGUAAAGCGCGCGUAGGCGGCUUUGUAAGUUAGAGGUGAAAGCCCAGGGCUUAACCCUGGAAUUGCCUUUAAGACUGCAUCGCUCGAAUUGUGGAGAGGUGAGUGGAAUUCCGAGUGUAGAGGUGAAAUUCGUAGAUAUUCGGAAGAACACCAGUGGCGAAGGCGACUCACUGGACAGAUAUUGACGCUGAGGUGCGAAAGCGUGGGGAGCAAACAGG
rnacentral:rRNA from 1 species